UCUGGGUGGUGCCUGUGGACACAGGAGCAACAACCUGUAAGUGCAGGCUUCCGGGCUCCUGCUCAGACAACUGGGCUUCAACAACCAACAGGAACCUUAGGGAUACUGUGCCCCGCGCUUCAGCAAAUCAGUACAGGCCAUCCCUGACACAUUCCUGGAGACCUGAAUCAUGUCCACUCCCUCUGCUGUGUUCAACUGCUGAUAGAGUCCUGGGGACUAAAUAGAACUCUCAUGGGUCUGUGUACCUGGAUGAGACUGUCUUCAAAACCCAAACAACUUAGGACAAGACUGACUUCUUCCAGAAUGCUCUGAAUUUCUCCUGCCCAUCAGAGGACUGAAACCCAGAGCUCCUCCGAGAGAUUUCUCUGCAGCUCUCUCAAAAGGAUACUAUGCGUUGCCCACAUCUCGAACACCUGGGGUCAGAAGACACUCCAAGGACAAAGCUAGCGGCAGAAGCUGAGCUCUGCGGGAAUAAAGAAGUAAGAUGACCACUGCUGAGGUCAGGGAAACUUCCCCGACUGCACAGGAGCAGAAAGACUCCUUGGGGGUCAAA